UACGAAGGGGGCUAGCGUUGCUCGGAAUCACUGGGCGUAAAGCGCACGUAGGCGGAUUGCUAAGUCAGGGGUGAAAUCCUGGAGCUCAACUCCAGAACUGCCUUUGAUACUGGCGAUCUCGAGUUCGGGAGAGGUGAGUGGAACUGCGAGUGUAGAGGUGAAAUUCGUAGAUAUUCGCAAGAACACCAGUGGCGAAGGCGGAUUCUCUGGGCCUUACCUGACGCUGAGGUAGCGAAAGCGUGGGGAGCGAAGA
rnacentral:rRNA from 1 species